AAAGUUUGAUAUUAUGUUUUGCAUUUUCUAUUGCAUUCUUUAAUGUUUAAUUUUUGUUUAGGAUUUUAGGCUUUGAUUUUCUGGGUUUACACAUAUGGGCUGCUCCCUCUCUGUGCAGGUAAGACUACUCUUUCUCGGUACUAGUUGUGAGCUGACGUUAUAUUUUUUUUCUAGAGAAAGCUGAAAAUCUGAGAGAAAAAUAGAAGACAUGGAAGAAAGUGAGCUCUAAAGCUCGUUCUUUGACUGUGAUACUCAUUGCAUCUUAUAUUAGCAGGUUGACAGGAGAAAGGACGACAUGAAGCAUAAUAAGGGUCUGGUGACAAUGGUGAACGGGGAAUCCCUAAGUUUGGUAAACCUUGUUCGUCCGUGAAGAAUGUGUUUCUGUCUUUUUUCAAUGCUUAUAAGCAUUUUGUUUGUAAAGUGCUCAAUGGGAAAGGGGUAAAGAAACCCAAACCACUACUUCACCCACCUUCCAGAUACAUUGGGAAGCCAGUCAUGCUUAUUUUAACUGUUUAUAAACCCAAAAUAUUUUCUUCA